AGGGUUUGAUCAUGGCUCAGAUUGAACGCUGGCGGCAGGCCUAACACAUGCAAGUCGAGCGGUAGAGAGAAGCUUGCUUCUCUUGAGAGCGGCGGACGGGUGAGUAAUGCCUAGGAAUCUGCCUGGUAGUGGGGGAUAACGUUCGGAGACGGACGCUAAUACCGCAUACGUCCUACGGGAGAAAGCAGGGGACCUUCGGGCCUUGCGCUAUCAGAUGAGCCUAGGUCGGAUUAGCUAGUUGGUGAGGUAAUGGCUCACCAAGGCGACGAUCCGUAACUGGUCUGAGAGGAUGAUCAGUCACACUGGAACUGAGACACGGUCCAGACUCCUACGGGAGGCAGCAGUGGGGAAUAUUGGACAAUGGGCGAAAGCCUGAUCCAGCCAUGCCGCGUGUGUGAAGAAGGUCUUCGGAUUGUAAAGCACUUUAAGUUGGGAGGAAGGGUUGUAGAUUAAUACUCUGCAAUUUUGACGUUACCGACAGAAUAAGCACCGGCUAACUCUGUGCCAGCAGCCGCGGUAAUACAGAGGGUGCAAGCGUUAAUCGGAAUUACUGGGCGUAAAGCGCGCGUAGGUGGUUUGUUAAGUUGGAUGUGAAAUCCCCGGGCUCAACCUGGGAACUGCAUUCAAAACUGACUGACUAGAGUAUGGUAGAGGGUGGUGGAAUUUCCUGUGUAGCGGUGAAAUGCGUAGAUAUAGGAAGGGAACACCAGUGGCGAAGGCGACCACCUGGACUAAUACUGACACUGAGGUGCGAAAGCGUGGGGAGCAAACAGGGAUUAGAUACCCUGGUAGC
rnacentral:rRNA from 1 species